AGUUGUUCCGGCAACUAUAAACAGGAUUUUAAGCCGGAAGCGUUCAGGCGGUGCAAUAGUGCCGCUUGAGGUAAUC
rnacentral:ribozyme from 1 species